UACGUAGGUGGCAAGCGUUGUCCGGAUUUACUGGGCGUAAAGCGCGCGCAGGCGGGCUGGUCAGUCCGGGGUGAAAUCUCACGGCUCAACCGUGAGCGGUCCCCGGAUACUGCCAGUCUUGAGGUGUCUAGAGGAGAGCGGAAUUCCCGGUGUAGUGGUGGAAUGCGUAGAUAUCGGGAAGAACACCAGUGGCGAAAGCGGCUCUCUGGAGACCACCUGACGCUGAGGCGCGAAAGCGUGGGGAGCGAACCGG
rnacentral:rRNA from 1 species